rnacentral:rRNA from 1 species
UAGAGUUUGAUCCUGGCUCAGGAUGAACGCUAGCGACAGGCUUAACACAUGCAAGUCGAGGGGCAGCGGUGGUGAAGGCUUGCCUUUACCAGCCGGCGACCGGCGCACGGGUGAGUAACACGUAUGCAACCUGCCUGCCACAGCCGGAUAAUCGGGAGAAAUUCCGUCUAAUACGGCAUAAUGCACCUAUGGGACAUCCUGUUGGUGCCAAAGGUUGAUUCCGGUGGCGGAUGGGCAUGCGUCGCAUUAGUUAGUUGGCGGUGUAACGGACCACCAAGACGACGAUGCGUAGGGGUUCUGAGAGGAAGGUCCUCCACACUGGUACUGAGACACGGACCAGACUCCUACGGGAGGCAGCAGUGAGGAAUAUUGGUCAAUGGGCGGGAGCCUGAACCAGCCAAGUCGCGUGAGGGAUGACGGCCCUAUGGGUUGUAAACCUCUUUUGCCGGGGAGCAAAGUGCCGCACGUGUGCGGUUUGGAGAGUACCCGGAGAAAAAGCAUCGGCUAACUCCGUGCCAGCAGCCGCGGUAAUACGGAGGAUGCGAGCGUUAUCCGGAUUUAUUGGGUUUAAAGGGUGCGUAGGCGGACGCUUAAGUCAGCGGUAAAAUUGCGGGGCUCAACCUCGUCGAGCCGUUGAAACUGGGUGCCUUGAGUGGGCGAGAAGUACGCGGAAUGCGUGGUGUAGCGGUGAAAUGCAUAGAUAUCACGCAGAACUCCGAUUGCGAAGGCAGCGUACCGGCGCCCAACUGACGCUGAAGCACGAAGGCGUGGGUAUCGAACAGGAUUAGAUACCCUGGUAGUCCACGCAGUAAACGAUGAAUGCUAGUUGUCCGGGGCGAUUGAGUUCUGGGUGACACAGCGAAAGCGUUAAGCAUUCCACCUGGGGAGUACGCCGGCAACGGUGAAACUCAAAGGAAUUGACGGGGGCCCGCACAAGCGGAGGAACAUGUGGUUUAAUUCGAUGAUACGCGAGGAACCUUACCCGGGCUCAAACGCAGGAGGGAUGUUUUUGAAAGGAGGCAGCCAGCAAUGGUCUCCUGCGAGGUGCUGCAUGGUUGUCGUCAGCUCGUGCCGUGAGGUGUCGGCUUAAGUGCCAUAACGAGCGCAACCCCUACCUACAGUUGCCAUCGCGUGAUGGCGGGCACUCUGUGGGGACUGCCUGCGCAAGCAGUGAGGAAGGCGGGGAUGACGUCAAAUCAGCACGGCCCUUACGUCCGGGGCGACACACGUGUUACAAUGGCAGGUACAGCGGGAAGCCACCCGGCGACGGGGCGCGGAACCCGAAAACCUGUCUCAGUUCGGAUUGGAGUCUGCAACCCGACUCCAUGAAGCUGGAUUCGCUAGUAAUCGCGCAUCAGCCACGGCGCGGUGAAUACGUUCCCGGGCCUUGCACUCACCGCCCGUCA